GAUGAACGCUGGCGGCGUGCCUAAUACAUGCAAGUCGAGCGAACAGACGAGGAGCUUGCUCCUCUGACGUUAGCGGCGGACGGGUGAGUAACACGUGGAUAACCUACCUAUAAGACUGGGAUAACUUCGGGAAACCGGAGCUAAUACCGGAUAAUAUAUUGAACCGCAUGGUUCAAUAGUGAAAGACGGUUUUGCUGUCACUUAUAGAUGGAUCCGCGCCGCAUUAGCUAGUUGGUAAGGUAACGGCUUACCAAGGCAACGAUGCGUAGCCGACCUGAGAGGGGGAUCGGCCACCCGGGAACUCAGACCCGUCCCAGACCCCUACGGGAGGCCGCAGGAGGGAAUCUUCCGCAAUGGGCGAAAGCUUGCCGGAGCAACGCCGCGUGGGUGAUGAAGGUUUUCGGUUCGUAAAACUCUGUUAUUAGGGAAGAAAAAAUGUGUAAGUAACUAUGCCCGUCUUGACGGUACCUAAUCAGAAAGCCCCGGCUACCUACGG
rnacentral:rRNA from 1 species